rnacentral:rRNA from 1 species
UACGUAGGCAGCGAGCGUUGUUCGGAGUUACUGGGCGUAAAGGGUGUGUAGGCGGUUUUCUAAGUCUGGUGUGAAAUCUCCCGGCUCAACUGGGAGGGUGCGCCGAAAACUGGAAGGCUAGAGUGCGGGAUGGGUAAGUGGAAUUCCUGGAGUAGCGGUGAAAUGCGUAGAUAUCAGGAGGAACACCUGUGGUGUAGACGGCUUACUGGACCGCAACUGACGCUGAAACACGAAAGCGUGGGUAGCAAACAGG